AAAAAAAACAAAAAAACAAAAAAAGCAAACAGAACUUGCGAAAAUCAACAAAACUAUAUUUUCACGCUUACAAUCUGUGUCAAGUGUCAACACUGUAUAGUCCGUGGAUCACCACCUCUCCUCCACCACCAAAAUGCACCGAGUAACCAAUCUCCGACGAUUUAUUCCCUCUCUCCUCCACCACCAUCACCACCGCCAUUUACACCAAAACACCAACCCGAUCAAAUCCCUCACCUCCGCAAACUCAACCAUCCUCCAAAACCCCGCCUUACACCCCCGCUCAUUCUCUUCUCUCUCCUCUGACCCUACGGCCUCCACCACCGCCGAAAUCCGCAAAUACAUCGGAUACUCCCUCCUCCUCCUCGGUUGCGGCGUUGGAACCUACUAUUCCUUCCCUUUCCCGGAAAACGCCAAGCACAAAAAAGCCCAACUCUUCAAAUACGCCCCUCUCCCCGAAGAUCUUCAUACCAUCUCUAAUUGGAGUGGUACCCAUGAGGUCCAUACCCGCAAUUUCAUUCAACCGGAAUCGGUUUCGGACCUCGAAAAACUUGUCCAAGAAGCCCAUCAAAAGUCCCAGAAGAUUCGGCCUGUUGGGUCGGGUCUUUCUCCAAAUGGGGUUGGGCUUUCUCGGGCUGGCAUGGUGAAUUUGGGCUUGUUGGAUAAGGUAUUGGAGGUUGAUAAGGAGAAGAAGACUGUUAGAGUUGAAGCUGGUAUUAGAGUUCAGCAGCUUGUUGAUCAAAUUAAGGAGUACGGACUUACUUUGCAAAAUUUUGCUUCUAUUAGGGAGCAGCAGAUUGGUGGCAUUCUUCAGGUUGGUGCUCAUGGCACUGGUGCAAGAUUGCCACCUAUUGAUGAGCAAGUUAUUUCCGUGAAACUGGUCACUCCUGCCAAGGGAACUAUAGAGCUAUCUAAAGAGAAAGAUCCGGAGCUAUUUUAUCUUGCUCGUGUUGGUCUUGGAGGACUCGGAGUAGUGGCUGAAGUCACCCUUCAGUGUGUUGAUAGGCAGGAGCUUGUAGAGCACACCUAUAUCUCUAAUAUGGAUGAGAUAAAGAAAAAUCACAAGAAACUACUCUCUGAAAAUAAGCAUGUAAAGUACUUGUAUAUCCCAUACACGGAAACUGUUGUGGUUGUGACAUGCAACCCUGUAUCAAGGUGGAGCCGUCCAAAGAAUUUCAAACCUAAAUACACUAAAGAUGAAGCACUUCAACAUGUACGAGAGCUGUACAGGAACUCACUGGAGAAAUAUAGAGUUUCUCCCACAGAAAAUUAUCCAGACAUAAAUGAGCUAUCAUUUACAGAGCUUAGAGACAAACUUCUUGCUAUAGAUCCCGCAAAUGCAGAACAUAUCAUUGAAGUGAAUCAAGCUGAAGCUGAAUUCUGGAAGAAAUCUGAGGGAUAUAGAGUGGGUUGGAGUGACGAAAUCUUAGGUUUUGAUUGUGGAGGUCAGCAGUGGGUCUCAGAGACAUGUUUCCCAGCUGGAACCCUAGCAAAACCUAACAUGAAGGACCUCGAGUACAUUGAGAAACUGAAGCAGCUGAUAGAGAAGGAAGGAAUUCCUGCACCAGCUCCCAUUGAACAACGAUGGACAGCUCGGAGUAAGAGCCCUAUGAGUCCAGCUAGCUCAUUAGAUGAUGACAUAUUCUCUUGGGUUGGUAUCAUCAUGUACCUCCCGACAUCGGAUCCUCGCCAGAGGAAGGAGAUAACCGACGAAUUCUUUCACUAUAGAUUUUUGACACAAUCUCGGUUGUGGGAUCUUUACUCUGCUUAUGAACAUUGGGCAAAGAUUGAGAUUCCGAAAAACAAGGAAGAGCUUGUGGAUUUGCAAGCAAGGUUAAAGAAGCGGUUUCCGGUGGAUUCAUACAACAAAGCACGAAAGGAGUUGGACCCAAAUAGGAUCCUGUCAAAUAACAUGCUUGAGAAGCUCUUCCCGUUAUCAGAAGACGUAUGAAAAGCAUUCAGCAUACGUUAGUUGUACAUCAGAAGAUAAAAUGAAUGUCAGAUAGCCAUCACUCAUCAGGUCAUCUCCCUAAACUUAGUAGAGGCUCCCCCUAUCAAGAUGGGUUGACUGUAUAAUGCAACCAUGGGCCUCUUCUACUAUGCUUUCAAACACGAGUGGACGAAUUCUUGACACCUUCUGGACGAUAGAUGGAUCAUUUUUCCUUGUGUCCAAUAAGCCAGUUCUUUCAAGACAUGGAAGAACACAUAUUCAUUCACCUGAACUUUGCACCAUCUUCACCAAAAGGCACACUAUUAUUGAGGUAAUUCAUUAAUCGACAGACAAAGUGUCCAUAAGUACAUAUUGAGACCUGGGAGAUCUCCGACUUGUGCAACACCUUUCGUAAUAGGAGAUCUUCCAACUCCUUCGAGUCUUUAACCCUAACUCAUUUGGAUGAGCAAGGGAAGCAAGAAGCAUUUUGAAGAAAAGGCUUACUGUUGUUUGCCCACGAGAGGUGUCCCGUCUAGGGUUUCAAUAAUUGGGAAGGAGAUAAGGAUUCAUACAGGUUUAGGGUGUAUCAUCAACUCGUCGAUCGGAACAAUUCGUGCGCAGAUUGUGAAGGGCUCGACUUGAAAAGAUGCGAAAACAUCAAAAAUCACUGCUCGCAUCAAGCUAGAAGCGGUGGAGUACGAACUGUGCUUUAGGAUGCAAAUUAGUAAUUGUUUUGAUUGUAAAAGUGAUGUAUUUUAUUUGAAUAUGUGGUAUGCAGAUCUUUUUUAUCAUUGUAGAUGUCGUAUGACUGAUUAUUAAUGAUAUUGUUCUUCCCCAUAAAAAAAAAAACUACAUAAA